rnacentral:rRNA from 1 species
AUUGAACGCUGGCGGUAGGCCUAACACAUGCAAGUCGAACGCGAAAGUCCUUCGGGAUGAGUAGAGUGGCGGACGGGUGAGUAACGCGUAGGAAUCUAUCCUGUAGUGGGGGAUAACGUUUUGAAAGGAACGCUAAUACCGCAUACGCCCCAAGGGGGAAAGCGGGGGAUCUUCGGACCUCGUGCUAUAGGAGGAGCCUGCGUCGGAUUAGCUAGUUGGUGAGGUAAAGGCUCACCAAGGCGACGAUCCGUAGCUGGUCUGAGAGGAUGAUCAGCCACACCGGAACUGAGACACGGUCCGGACUCCUACGGGAGGCAGCAGUGGGGAAUAUUGCGCAAUGGGCGAAAGCCUGACGCAGCCAUACCGCGUGUGUGAAGAAGGCCUUCGGGUUGUAAAGCACUUUCAGUGGGGAGGAAAAGCUGGUGGCUAAUAUCCGUCGGCCGUGACGCUACCCACAGAAGAAGCACCGGCUAAUUCCGUGCCAGCCGCCGCGGUAAAAC